rnacentral:lncRNA from 1 species
CUUUGAAAAGACAGUAAUCCCUUCUGCAGAAAAAUUUUACUGAGUUAUUGAAUUGUUAUAAUAGCUUAAGUCUCAUACUUAUUCACUACUUAAUGCAUUGAAUUUCAAACUGUGGGAUUUUUAAAAAGCCAAAUAUAUGUGUUUUGUAAAGUGAUUUAAACUUUAAGUGAAAAAAAUUAUAUCCAUGAAAGCUUGUUAAAUGUUAAGAAUGUAAGUUAUACUAUUUCUGUAAGAAUAUGUAAGUUAUACUAUUUCUACAAGAAUAAUAAUAGGAUGUAAACCCUAUUGGUUCAGCAUUUAUUCACUGACAGAUUAUAAUGUGGGACCUCUUCUGGUAUGAGAGAUUCACAGUGAACAAGACAGAGGAGCUUUCUGUACUCACAGAUCUCAUAUUCUAUGGGAUGGAUGUUGAAAACAUCAAGUCAAAAGUGUGCGGUAAUUUGUGGAAGUCAAGAGGAUCAAUAAGAGAGACAAGUAUAGGAAAUUCUAUGAAGGAAGCAAAUUUAAAAUCAGGAAGUUACUUCAAUGGCCAUGGUUCUAACAGAAAUAGAUGAACAAUCUUAAUGGUCAACAAAAACAAAAUUAUAAUUAGUAGUCUGAGAGAUCAUAACGAUAUGCAUGUGUCAAGUAGACUGACAACACUAAAGGUGAAUCAGUACAAAGGAUCCAGGCAGAAGAUCUUGUGUACAGAAGCAUCUAGGAAGGCCACCAGAAAGAGCAUGUGUUAUAGUACCCACUCUGAAUACUGCUGGGAGACACAAACGUUUUUUUUGCCAUCCAACUCCAGAUUCCAUGCUGAACCACCAUUCUUUGAACAGAGUUCUUCCUUUGCAUAAAAUAUAACAUACUCAGUUAGGAGUGGUUACCGGCCGGGUGCGGUGGCUCACGCCUGUAAUCCCAGCACUUUGGGAGGCCAAGGUGGGCGGAUCACAAGGUCAGGAGAUCGAGACCAUCCUGGCUAACACGGUGAAACCCCGUCUCUAUUAAGAAUACAAAAACAAAUUAGCCAGGUGUGGUGGCUGGUGCCUUUAGUCCCAGCUACUAGGGAGGCUGGGGCAGCAGGAUGGCAUGAACCUGGGAGGAGAAACUUGCAGCAAGCCAAGAUCAUGCCACUGCACUCCAGCCUGGGCAACAGAGUGAGACUCCAUCUCAAAAAAAAAAAAAAAAAGGUGUUUACCAUGCUAUUUUGUUUGUUGUUUUCUUCUUUACCUAUCACAGAGGCUGGCACAUAGUAUGAAAUAUUGAAUAAUCACUAAUGAAUAAAUUAAGUUGAUGAUGCCUAAAAUUUCUCAGUUGCAAUCACGGUUCAGUCUCAUAUUUCUGAGACAAUAUUCCAGUACUCUUAAUUGGAAUCUUUGUGUAUUUCCAAAACCUCUGGGGAUUCCUCCACACCCCAUUCUCUUGCAUUACUUCUGCGGCAGUGGGGGGCUGUAGUGUUUGUGUCCAUUUUACUACUUAAAACAUAUGAAAGCUUAAUGUACUUUAACAUUCCUAGAGAUCUCAUCACAGAUUAAUUUGUAUACCAAUAGGCAACAGUACUUUGUCCAAAUCAUUAUUUUACAUUUUAUCUAUAUUAGUAUUUUGUCCAAGAUUAUUAUUAACUUUUGGUAUCAAGCCUAUUUGUGGUCAUGAUGUUUUAAAAACUAGCAUGCAUAAGAAUUUGGAGGUGCUAUAUGCUAUACCACCAGUUUCUAUUAGAAAUACAGAAAACAGACAGGGUACUGAACCAUCAUUACUUUUCCAUCUAUCACAUAUUCCCAUCGAUGACUAAUUAGCAGAACAAUGUGAGAGAAGUAUUGAAUCAUGAACCUAUGGCUCUUUGCUGGCCAUCUCCCUUCUGUUAAUGUAAGUUAUUUUAGGCCUAAGUAUGUAAUAACUUAGAGUCUUGAUAGUUGCAAUGCAGGAAAAACAUAUGAGUAUUGAUUAUGAACAAAACAGAGAAAUUCAGAUUCGAUGCACUCAGCUUCCAUACUUAUUCCUCUUUUUUCAUCCCUGUGGUGCACACACAGCUUGAUCUCCCUAAACCUCUUGAAUAAUCCUUGCUGAUGUUAAUAACCAAAAUGCUUAGCUAAAAAGGGCUAAAUCAGACCCCUCUCUGCCUUCUAGACUCCAAGGAAGUAACUUAAGGAGAAUAUGGUGAAUGGGCAGCCAUCCCUUUCCUCUUUCUCCCCAAGUUGCCUUUUGGAGAGUCUAACAAAAACUAUGGCACAAGAUACUAGAAAGAGAUCGAUGAUCUGCUCCUCAGUCUUGUCUAAUAGUCAAAACUGAUAGCCUCUGUAAAUUAAAAUCCCACAGAUAACAUUAUUUUUAAGAAUUAAAAUACCUGCUGAGAAGUGAUACAGUGCUACAUACUUGGAGAGUAAGACCAUUUUGAAUGUUACAUUCACCAGUAAAUUAAGAAAAGCAAUUUCAAAGACUUAAGGGGAGUUCUCAUUAGAAAUGGUAUAUAUAAAAUUCUCCCACAGAAAUUCUUGUUAAAGGGAGUUGAGUUAUUUUAUGCUAGUUUCCGGAAAGGUUAAAGGAGUUGAAUCAAAUUUACUUCAUUGUUAAGGUAUUUUAAAUAUAAUAUAUAGGCCUUGAUUCUAACUAAAUUCACAGUGGUCUCCAGGAGUUGAAGAGGUUGUGAACUCAAGCACUACUCUCAGAGAAGCUGGCUGGCUUCUAGCACAAAAAGUCUUCUCCCACUUUGAGCCACACUACUGUGCAUUACUGACAUUUAAUCUCUUGGCUACCCUGGGACAUUGUGUAGAAACCCAAACACAACUAAUGAGGGCCCCAGCCAAUGCUGGCCACUAGACUAAAUGCAGGUGGGCUUUUUAACGGAUCUGUGAAUCAAAGCUGCCCCCUACAGAGGCUAUAGAAACUGAGACUCAAAAAACUUUUAGAGCUACCCAGGCAGAGGCAUUGGUCAUAUGUAUGCCUCGGGGCAGCCAAGAUGUAGUCAACCUUCAGGUAGGGUGUACUGACAGAGAUACACAGUGCUGAGGCCUGGGAUAUUUCUCUUUAGAAAGCACAAGAACCCUAACGGGGUGAGAGAAGGCACAUUUUGUUUUCUUAUUGCAUUGCAUCCUCACAGAUCAAUCAAAUUAAUGUCUUUUUCCCCAAGAGAAGAAUGUUUGGGCUAUUUUUCUGGCAACCAAAGACAAGUCACCUAGAGAUCCUGAAAGUCCUAAAACUCAAUAUUAGGGCUAGAACUUUUUCCUUUAGCAGCCAAACCUGAACAAGAACUUCUCUGUAUCCUGGGUUUGGUGAGCAAGGGCUAAGUAGAACCCCCACAUUUUGGAAUCUGCAUCUCAGAAGCAUGUUUCAGAAAACACAGCUACAAUUUGACCCCUAGGCAGGCAGCCCUGGGUGUAGAAAUUACUGGCAUUUGCAGGCUUCCUCUAGAAAACAAGGGUAGUGAGAGGCACUUAGUGCCCUUCCAGAAAUGCAGCUUCACACAUUGUCUCCAUUUCCACUACUAACUUGUGGACACCAAGUAACCAAAUAUUAUUUAAGACCAAGCAAGCAGAACUUAAUAGUCAUUCAUGUGGCUAGGUUAGAAUUUCAGCUGGGUGUGGUGGCAUGUUCCUGUACACCCAGCUACUUGGGAGGCUAAGGCGGGAGAAUCACUUGAGGCCAGGAGUUUGAGUCCAGCCUGAGCAACGCAGCCAAACCACAACUCUAAAAAAAUAAAUAUAUAAUAAAAAGUAAAACAGAAUUUAGCGACUAGGUUUAAAUUACAUGGACUAUAAUGCUUCAUAAUGAAAAUUAAAUCUAGAUUAUUAGUGGCUAAGGCAUUGUAGCAGAGAGCAAAAAAUGCAUUAUGAAGAAUGAAAUUAAAAGGGCCUUUACUACGUAUGUGAAAAUGCAUAAUUUUGAUGCAUUAAAAUAUAUUCAGAUAAAGACUUAAUGUUUUUAGUUAACAUUGACAUAUUUGCUUCAUCUAUCCUUUUUUCUUUCCUUUUCUCUUUAGCUCUCUAUUAUCUUAAAGCAAAUCCUUCAAAUAAUGCCAUUUUUCCUUUAAACAUUUAUAUAGUAUGACAAAAAUACAUUUUGUUACAUAAUUACAAUUAACACACCUACCAAAAUUGGUAAGAUCCCAUUAGUAUUAUUUAAUAUCAAAUGUUAUUCAAAUUUCUCCCAAUUAUCUUCAGAAAUGGCUUUUUAUGGUUGAUGUAUUAAAGUUGUGAUCAUAACAAAGUCCACACAUGUAUUUUGGUUUCUGGAAUUCUCUUUUAGUCAAGAACAACCCCCUUCCCAACCACCCAAUCACUUAUGCAAACCAUUGACUUAGAGAAAUUGGAUUGGUUGUCCUGAGAAUACCUCACAUUCUGAAUUUUUCUGAUUGCUUCUUCUUUUAUAGUUCAAUUUGUUUUAUAUAUAUAUAAAAUUUCAUAUAUAUUUUAUUAUAUUUAUACAUAUAUGUAUAUAUACAUGUAUAGAAUGAAAAUUGUAGUUAGAGCUAAGGGCUCUGUUAGGGUCAGAUUCAACUUCUUAGUAAAAAUACGUCAUUGGUGGUGCUGUGAAAUACAUAAAGCAUCAUAUCAGGAGAAAAAAUGCCUAGCUGUCUCCACGUACUGAUGUUAAGCCUAGCUGAGGAAAGCCUGGUCCUUCCAUUAUAAAGUUUCUUUCUCUUAAUGGCCUUAACAUUCAUUGAUGCUAGUGACUUAUUCAAUUGUUCAAUAGAAUUUCAAAAUGCAAUUUGCUAAUGCUGUCAUUCCUUCCAUACUUUACAGCUGAGGUUUUUCUAUAAGGAAUGUUCUCUCAUCAUCUGGGGCAUUUCUACCCUGAAACACAUAGUUCACAUAGG